rnacentral:lncRNA from 15 species
AUUGACUUUGCUGGAGUUGCAGGAAAGUUCUGUGUUUGAGGGUCUCCCGGGGCGCCUGUUCUUGACCUAUGACCUAACAGCUCUUGAAGCCAGGAAGUAUUACGAAGCAGGCGUCCUGAUUGGCUGGUCUCUGGCUCAUGGUGGGCCUGGACCUCGUUGUCUACACCCUGCACUUUACCAGGUUGUGUGCAUGCGUCUUUUUAUGUAUAACAUGUAAUGCAAAGUACUGUUUUUUGUGCAGGGGCAGAGCUAGAGACACAAAUGUUUGCUGAUUUAGUUGCAAACAAUCACAUAUAUCAAUAUUUGCUUGUAAAAGCUGGAAAACUCACAAACAUUGCAUUACUAUAGCACAGGGGUCACCAACCUUUUUGAAACUGAGAGCUACUUCAUGGGUACUGAGUCAUACGAAGGGCUACCAGUUUGAUACACUCUUCUGAAAUAACAAAUUUGCUCAGUUUGCCUUUAGUUAUAUAUUAUUAUUAAUGAUUAAUGAUACUCAUCUUUGUGAAGACACUGAUCACAUUAAUGAUUUCUCACAAUAAUUAUCAACAAUGACUUAACAAGGUGGAAAACAGAUAAUAUCAAUAUUCAAUUUUCAUUUUUAGAACAGGCCUGAGGGCUACUCAUGUGGUCCUUGGGGGCUACCUGGUGUCCGGGGGCACGUGUUGGUGACCCCUGCUAUAGCAUACAUAGAAGUACCUAUAGGUGAUAAAUAAAUGUAAAAUUAUUUAUCAUAAAUUUUCCAAUGUGUUUUUUCAUCGAACUUAUUCCUGUUACUUUGUCUAAAAUAUGGUCAUAAAAGAUCAUUAAAUUAUAUGUGUUAAUUCUCUUUUAUGACACAUUACGUUUCAAAUUAAUCCUAAGUAAAGUGUUAAAUUUGACAACAUGUUUAUGUCAACUUUAUAUGGAGAUAACAUGUUGGCAUAAUGUUUAGAGAACUGCCCCAAAGUAGAAAAAAAUGCUGUUUAACAUCAGCAUGGUUAUACACUGCCAUAAUCUGAUGAGUGACGACCACUGCUUGUUCUAUUGUGUGUGUGUGUGUGUGUGUGUGUGUGUGUGUGUGUGUGUGUGUGUGUGUGUGUGUGUGUGUGUGUGUGUGUGUGUGUGUGUGUGUGUGUCACAGUUGAUGUGUGGCCAGAAUCCAUCUUUGGACGACUUCAGCUGGAGUGACAUUGCUGAUGCUGAAGUACAGAUCCGACUGCAACAGCUGCAUAGUUGUACUGAGGUACAGCUGCUGCCUCCCAGUCUGUGUGACUGGGUGUCAAGCUGUGGUAUCCCUGGAAUCUAUUCAGCCCACUCUGAUGAAAUACCAGCCAUCUAUAAACGCCUUGUCAAACAUUACAUCUAUCACAGGGUGGCCAAUAUGAUCUCCCAGUUCACCGAGGGGCUGAAAAGCUGUGGUGGAUUGUGGGAUACGGUACUGACCCACUGGGAGGUGUUUUUGCCUGUGAUGACGAGCACACAGCAGCAGCCUCUGAGCCCGGAAGAGUUCAAAAUGCUUUUCACCGCCUGCUACAGCUGUCCGGACAGCCAGCUGAGGGCAGCUGAGGAGGCAACAGCCGGACACUGGGAAACAGUCCUCACCGCAAUCAGCGAUGGUCAGGCAGAUUUUUCCUUUGAAAACCUGCUCGCCUUCAUCACAGGAGCUGAUCAUCUGCCUCCUCUUGGGUUUCCCAGAUUGAUCUCCCUGCGGUUUUACUCUCAGGAUGCAAGCAUGUCAGGUGUGCGUCUGCCCUACGUCUCCACCUGCGCUCUGGAGCUCUUCCUGCCGAGGGGAGCAGCAGCGGCUGCAGACCUGUUGAUGCUGCUGAGCAGAGCCAUGCACGAGGCCCUUGGCUUUACACGUUUCCAGACAGAGAGAGAUGGAGAGGACGGCAGUGUAGCAGUGAUCACAAGUUUAUGA